CUUUUGCUUAUUUUUUUGCUUGACGAGUUGGCGGACGGGUGAGUAAUGCUUGGGAAUAUGCCUUAUGGUGGGGGACAACAGUUGGAAACGACUGCUAAUACCGCAUAACAUCUCCGGAUCAAAGUGGGGGACCUUCGGGCCUCACGCCAUAAGAGUAGCCCAAGUGGGAUUAGCUAGUUGGUAAGGUAAUGGCUUACCAAGGCGACGAUCCCUAGUUGGUCUUAGAGGAUGACCAGCCACACUGGAACUGAGACACGGUCCAGACUCCUACGGGAGGCAGCAGUGGGGAAUAUUGCACAAUGGGCGCAAGCCUGAUGCAGCCAUGCCGCGUGUGUGAAGAAGGCUUUCGGGUUGUAAAGCACUUUCAGCGAGGAGGAAAGGUUGUACUUUAAUAGAGUGCAGCUGUGACGUUACUCGCAGAAGAAGCACCGGCUAACUCCGUGCCAGCAGCCGCGGUAAUACGGAGGGGGUUAGCGUUGUUCGGAAUUACUGGGCGUAAAGCGUACGUAGGCGGAUCAGAAAGUAUAGGGUGAAAUCCCAGGGCUCAACCCUGGAACUGCAUUUGAAACUGGUUAACUAGAGUUUUGUAGAGGGUGGUAGAAUUUCAGGUGUAGCGGUGAAAUGCGUAGAGAUCUGAAGGAAUACCAGUG
rnacentral:rRNA from 1 species